CCUACGGGGGGCAGCAGUGGGGAAUAUUGGACAAUGGGGGGAACCCUGAUCCAGCCAUGCCGCGUGUGUGAAGAAGGCCCUCGGGUUGUAAAGCACUUUCAGUGAGGAAGAACGCCUGGUGGUUAAUACCCAUCAGGAAAGACAUCACUCACAGAAGAAGCACCGGCUAACUCCGUGCCAGCAGCCGCGGUAAUACGGAGGGUGCGAGCGUUAAUCGGAAUUACUGGGCGUAAAGCGCGCGUAGGUGGCUUGAUAAGCCGGUUGUGAAAGCCCCGGGCUCAACCUGGGAACGGCAUCCGGAACUGUCAAGCUAGAGUGUAGGAGAGGAAGGUAGAAUUCCCGGUGUAGCGGUGAAAUGCGUAGAGAUCGGGAGGAAUACCAGUGGCGAAGGCGGCCUUCUGGACUGACACUGACACUGAGGUGCGAAAGCGUGGGUAGCAAACAGGAUUAGAUACCCCAGUAGUC
rnacentral:rRNA from 1 species